UACGGGGGGGGGCAAGCGUUGUUCGGAAUUACUGGGCGUAAAGGGCGCGUAGGCGGCUCUUUAAGUCAAAGGUGAAAUCCCUCGGCUCAACUGAGGAACUGCCUUUGAAACUGAGGAGCUUGAGUCCGGGAGGGGGUGAGCGGAAUUCCCAGUGUAGCGGUGAAAUGCGUAGAUAUUGGGAGGAAUACCAGUGGCGAAGGCGGCUUCCUGGCCUGUUCUUGACGCUGAGGCGCGAAAGCUGGGGGAGCAAACGGG
rnacentral:rRNA from 1 species